CUAAAAGAGGACAGAUUUGACUGAUUGCAACCUCUGACACCUUUAAAAGGUUUCAAAAAAAUGCUAAAGCAGCUUGU
rfam:Imtechella halotolerans K1 Contig2, whole genome shotgun sequence.